GACGAACGCUGGCGGCGUGCUUAACACAUGCAAGUCGAACGGAAAGGCCCUGCUUUUGUGGGGUGCUCGAGUGGCGAACGGGUGAGUAACACGUGAGUAACCUGCCCUUGACUUUGGGAUAACUUCAGGAAACUGGGGCUAAUACCGGAUAGGAGCUCCUGCUGCAUGGUGGGGGUUGGAAAGUUUCGGCGGUUGGGGAUGGACUCGCGGCUUAUCAGCUUGUUGGUGGGGUAGUGGCUUACCAAGGCUUUGACGGGUAGCCGGCCUGAGAGGGUGACCGGCCACAUUGGGACUGAGAUACGGCCCAGACUCCUACGGGAGGCAGCAGUGGGGAAUAUUGCACAAGGGGCGGAAGCCUGAUGCAGCAACGCCGCGUGCGGGAUGCCGGCCUUCGGGUUGUAAACCGCUUUCGCCUGUGACGAAGCGGGAGGGACGGUAAUGGGUAAAGAAGCACCGGCUAACUACGUG
rnacentral:rRNA from 1 species